rnacentral:rRNA from 1 species
GUCUCCGGCCAUGCUACCCUGAACAAGCCCGAUCCCGUCUGACCUCGGAAGCUAAGCAGGGUCGGGCCAGGUUAGUAUUUGGAUUGGAGACCACCUAGGAAGACCAGGUGCUGUAGAUG